rnacentral:rRNA from 1 species
AUUGAACGCUGGCGGCAGGCCUAACACAUGCAAGUCGAGCGGAUGAUGGGAGUUUGCUCCUGGAUUCAGCGGCGGACGGGUGAGUAAUGCCUAGGAAUCUGCCUGGUAGUGGGGGACAACGUUUCGAAAGGAACGCUAAUACCGCAUACGUCCUACGAGAGAAAGCAGGGGACCUUCGGGCCUUGCGCUAUCAGAUGAGCCUAGGUCGGAUUAGCUUGUUGGUGAGGUAAUGGCUCACCAAGGCGACGAUCCGUAACUGGUCUGAGAGGAUGAUCAGUCACACUGGAACUGAGACACGGUCCAGACUCCUACGGGAGGCAGCAGUGGGGAAUAUUGGACAAUGGGCGAAAGCCUGAUCCAGCCAUGCCGCGUGUGUGAAGAAGGUCUUCGGAUUGUAAAGCACUUUAAGUUGGGAGGAAGGGUUGUAGAUUAAUACUCUGCAAUUUUGACGUUACCGACAGAAUAAGCACCGGCUAACUCUGUGCCAGCAGCCGCCGUAACAC